AUUUUUUCUGAGUAGAAACCAUAAAAGAAAUAUAAAAACGCUUUGCCGCCGAAAUUUCAAACGCUAUUCUUUUCAAAAUCUCACAUCAAAAGGGUUUUGCAAACACGAAAAAUCCACUUUCCAUUUCAGAAGCAUAGAGAUGGAUUCGUCGAACUCCAAGAACGCUGGUUCAUCAUUGGAGGCCUUGAUGACUUCAUUCAAUGCUCGCAUAUUUGAACUUCAAGAGCUCGUAAUUGCUAGAAACAUGUACCCAGCGAGCAGUAUUCCAGAUCUUUCUGCUAUUGAUGCUGCUGUGAGUGCUUUGGAGCUUCAGGUGCAAACCAUUAAGGAGAAUUUCCGCAAUGAGAUGGAAGCUAUUCCUAAAGCAAAGAAAUUUAUCGAUGCAUGUCUGCAGCAGCAAAAGAAACUGCAGAAUAUGUCUCUUUACGUUCCUUCCCAAAUGGCGGAUAGAACGACCCUGUCAAAUUCAGAAACUAGUAGAGCUUUGUUUCCUGAAUUUUCUGGACUAGACACUGGAUCAUUUGAGGCUUUAAAACUUGAUGCGGAGCCUGCUGCAUUGCCUAAGGAGAAAAAAGGCCGUGGUCCCCCACCAACGUGGUAUGUCACUGGAAGUGAACUUGAUUCCUUGUCAUCAUAUAUGAGGGGUAGGCUUACUUUAGAGAAGGUGAAUGCAGCAAUCACAGAUAUGGCGUCUUAUGCGGAAGCUAAUACUCAGCUUAUUGCAGCUCCGAAAAAGAAGUUGGCAGAAAAUCUUUGGGAAAAAGCUAUGGAAAUAAGAGAUAUUGCAACAAUGGAAGGGAUUAAAGGAAAACACUUUUUUCUCGAAGCUGAUAUAAAAGGUCCAGCACUCAAACUUGACCACACUGGAAAGGCAAUAUUGACAGUUCUUCGACACCUUGGCCGUUUUAAUGAGACUCGAGUUGGACAUCAUCGUGUUUUCAUUCUACAUAAGCCUCAUUAGCAAAAAGUUAACAUUGACCUUUUGCUACAGAUAAAUUGUUGAGACUAUUAUCUGAUACAGCACAAAUGGUUGGUGUACCUGAACAUUUUUCUGAAGUUGCGGGAUAAUAUUCUGGCUUGUGCAAUUCUACUUAAUAUGAUUGAGAAUUUGUUGAAAUGAUUCAGUGUGCUGCCGAUCCUGUAUGAUGUUCUUUGGUAUUGCUUCAUGUGUCAUAAGUGUUUAUAUGAUGACCAUUGUGCUACAAAUGUUUUCGUGUAUAAAGUGAAUUAGUAUAAAUGGUUUAUGCACGGAUAAAAGUUAUUGUUAUAAUUAGAUAUUUAUACUAUUACUCAUUUAUAUUAAUGAAAUAUAUUGUAAAGUGUAAUUAAAUAUAAAAUAACUCUUGGGGGAGAUAAAAAGUAUAUGAGAAAAGGGAUGGUGGUGUGUAAAUUAUUUUCUGUCAAUUUGUAUCUUA